rnacentral:lncRNA from 1 species
CUCCAAACCAGUUUAAAAUAAAAAAAUCUGUAGCUCGUAAAAAAUAUUUUGCUUAGAUUAUAGGAAGACUGGAUACCUUUAUAAUUUUGCCAUUUCAAUCUAGGGAAAGACACACAUACAUUAAGAAAGCAAGAAAUUAUCUGGUUACCUAAAUAGCCAAUAUAUAAAGAUGAAAUGACCUGGGUAAAUAUAGUAUGUUAAUAAGUAUGUCUUUCCAUAGCUAGUUGCACAUGUGUAUUUGUUCAGUAUCUACCUCGUGAUCACCUACUCCUGCUA